UGGCGCCACCUAGAUUUUACAUCCAAGAUAAUAGGUAGAAGUAAAUUUAUUUUCUGCUGCCUUGGUAAUUAGAAAUUAAAAUUGAAAUAGUGAGAAAUGAGUGUUGGCAUUGGUGUAGAAAUAGCGAGAAAUUUAGAGAAAACUCUCUAAGACUAGCAAGAUUUUCUGUGCCAAAUUAAGCAAGGGGUGUUCUUCAUUCAUGCUAUUUCGAAAAUUCCGGAACCGUUGAGUACCCUUAAAAAAUGCCAUUUUUCUAUCAAAAAAGCUGCGGCACCAUAUGUGUUUGACCAUUGCAAUUACACCCAAAGGUGUUGAUAAUUCAUAAUUCGAAAUUUUUUUUAAUGGAUCUUUGAUAGUGAAAAGGCAGGACUAAAUAAGGCUACCAUUGUCGCCUAUGUAAAUAAUUACUUCCUUGUAACCUAAA
rnacentral:lncRNA from 1 species